ensembl:lncRNA
CUUCUAUAUAUAUAAUCCCUAUACCUUCUUGCGCCAUCUUGCGUUUCGACACGCUAAAGUCAGUUCAAAUUCUGAUUUUACAUUCAUUUUUGUAACGUUACAAACAAAGAGACCGACAUAAUUACCAUAUGAAUAAAUAAUGCAUAUCAGUAUGUAAGUAAGUGAAUAAUUGAACAAAUAUAUAGGCUAUAUGGUCAAUUUAUAGUGCAUUUGUAUCAGACUCUAUAGGCUAUUGUCAGUUUUGUUUAUGUUCUCCCGGCAACGUAUUAUUACAGUAGUUUUGCCUAAAGCUUAACUCUCUGUACAAAGACCAUCACUCCCUAGGAACGGAUCAUCUGUACAUAAGAGACAGGAGAUGUGACCUUGACUGGAAAUCCCAUUUGCGCUGGAUACCUGAACCUCGAUAUAGUGAUGCCCCAUUUCCACACAUCAAAGACAUAAAGUUUCCCAAUGAAAGGAAACUGAUGAGAUCCUUCCCACGUGAGUCAAGCUUUGAUCAGCAAAGUCUAUCUGUUCAAGUAUUAAUAAAAGUAUCUCUAGUGGCAGCUGCACAUGAAAACUUUCCUAUGACUUCAUUAGAGUAAUCACUAAGGCUGUAACAUCUAAGACACUUUUAACUCUAUUUUUACCCUGUUCUUUGGAAUUUGUUACUAGAUUCUGAGAUCAUUUUUCAGUAUUUUUGAUGUUUACUGCCAUGUCCAUUCAGAGGCUAAUAGGGUGUCCGUAUCUGAGUGGAGCUUUUAUCCAAACAUUGGACAGCCCAAGACCUAUCACACUGGAAAGAGAUGUUUUAUGGAUGGCAUUAUGCAUACAAGAAGCAUGAGAUGCUUUUCAGAAAAUUCCCUGGAAUCAUCCAUAGGGAGGAAAAAGCAGGCCACAGACAAAUGCAGCAUCUACCCUUUAACAAAGGUCAGACCAUUUCUAGUUCCUGAGUACAGCUCUGACUUUCAUAAAUAUGAAUCAUCACUGCGCACAGCCACUUUUGGAUCCAAGCCGUUUGCCACAUUUAAACCAUUUAUUCACCUAAAACCCUCUACAAAAAACAUCAGGUAGGUAAAAUUAAUAAUAUUAUGGUGGCCUGCACCAUACAACUUCAUGGCUAAGAAAUAUUUUGUUUGAAUUUCUUAAGGUGUAUGUACUGUUUGCUUUUACAGUCCACUGUAUGCAGAGAAACAUAAAAGUCUUGCUCGAGAGGAGGACAUUCUUGAAGUCAAGAGGCUGAACAGCUGGAGACCAGCACCAGACAUCUAUGACAGGACAGUUUUGCUGGACACCUAAUUUGGAAGGUGUCAAACCAUGCUUACAUAUUUAUUGUUGUUAUUGUUAGUGUUUGCUGUUUUGUUAGACAUAUUUUAGUUCUAUCAAAGUGUUGAAGCAAAUAAAAUGCUCUUUCUUUCCUUCA